UCUCGAUAAGGGCAAACCUCUCGAAAGAGAGGGACGCAAAGCCAAUCACCUAACUCCUUGUAAUUAAACAGGAUAAGGUUGCGAGGCUACCGAA
rnacentral:ncRNA from 1 species